rnacentral:rRNA from 1 species
CAGCAGCCGCGGUAAAACGUAGGGUGCAAGCGUUAAUCGGAAUUACUGGGCGUAAAGCGUGCGUAGGCGGUGAGUUAAGUCUGCUGUGAAAUCCCCGGGCUCAACCUGGGAAUGGCAGUGGAUACUGGCUCGCUAGAGUGUGUCAGAGGAUGGUGGAAUUCCCGGUGUAGCGGUGAAAUGCGUAGAGAUCGGGAGGAACAUCAGUGGCGAAGGCGGCCAUCUGGGACAACACUGACGCUGAGGCACGAAAGCGUGGGAAGCAAACAGGAUUAGAUACCCCUGUAGUCCCUGUCUCUUAUAC